CCUACGGGAGACAGCAGUGGGGAAUAUUGGGCAAUGGGCGCAAGCCUGACCCAGCAACGCCGCGUGAAGGAAGAAGGCUUUCGGGUUGUAAACCUCUUUUAAGAGGGAAGAGCAGAAGACGGUACCUCUUGAAUAAGCCACGGCUAACUACGUGCCAGCAGCCGCGGUAAUACGUAGGUGGCAAGCGUUGUCCGGAUUUACUGGGUGUAAAGGGCGUGCAGCCGGGAAGACAAGUCAGAUGUGAAAUCCCGCGGCUCAACCGCGGAACUGCAUUUGAAACUGUUUUUCUUGAGUACCGGAGAGGUCAGCGGAAUGCCUUGUGUAGCGGUGAAAUGCGUAGAGAUUAGGAAGAACACCAGUGGCGAAGGCGGCUUACUGGACUGUAACUGACGUUGAGGCUCGAGAGCGUGGGGAGCAAACAGGAUUAGAUACCCGAGUAGUC
rnacentral:rRNA from 1 species